rnacentral:rRNA from 1 species
CACUAUCGUUAACUGAAUACAUAGGUUAACGAGGCGAACCGGGGGAACUGAAACAUCUAAGUACCCCGAGGAAAAGAAAUCAACCGAGAUUCCCCCAGUAGCGGCGAGCGAACGGGGAGCAGCCCAGAGUCUGAAUCAGCUUGUGUGUUAGUGGAACGGUCUGGAAAGUCCGACGGUACAGGGUGAUAGUCCCGUACACCAAAAUGCACAGGCUGUGAACUCGAAGAGUAGGGCGGGACACGUGGUAUCCUGUCUGAAUAUGGGGGGACCAUCCUCCAAGGCUAAAUACUCCUGACUGACCGAUAGUGAACCAGUACCGUGAGGGAAAGGCGAAAAGAACCCCGGCGAGGGGAGUGAAAAAGAACCUGAAACCGUGUACGUACAAGCAGUGGGAGCACCUUCGGGUGUGACUGCGUACCUUUUGUAUAAUGGGUCAGCGACUUAUAUUCUGUAGCAAGGUUAACCGUAUAGGGGAGCCGCAGGGAAACCGAGUCUUAACUGGGCGUUAAGUUGCAGGGUAUAGACCCGAAACCCGGUGAUCUAGCCAUGGGCAGGUUGAAGGUUGGGUAACACUAACUGGAGGACCGAACCGACUAAUGUUGAAAAAUUAGCGGAUGACUUGUGGCUGGGGGUGAAAGGCCAAUCAAACCGGGAGAUAGCUGGUUCUCCCCGAAAGCUAUUUAGGUAGCGCCUCGUGAACUCAUCUUCGGGGGUAGAGCACUGUUUCGGCUAGGGGGUCAUCCCGACUUACCAACCCGAUGCAAACUACGAAUACCGAAGAAUGUUAUCACGGGAGACACACGGCGGGUGCUAACGUCCGUCGUGAAGAGGGAAACAACCCAGACCGCCAGCUAAGGUCCCAAAGUCAUGGUUAAGUGGGAAACGAUGUGGGAAGGCACAGACAGCCAGGAUGUUGGCUUAGAAGCAGCCAUCAUUUAAAGAAAGCGUAAUAGCUCACUGGUCGAGUCGGCCUGCGCGGAAGAUGUAACGGGGCUAAACCAUGCACCGAAGCUGCGGCAGCGACACUAUGUGUUGUUGGGUAGGGGAGCGUUCUGUAAGCCUGCGAAGGUGACCUGUGAGGGUUGCUGGAGGUAUCAGAAGUGCGAAUGCUGACAUAAGUAACGAUAAAGCGGGUGAAAAGCCCGCUCGCCGGAAGACCAAGGGUUCCUGUCCAACGUUAAUCGGGGCAGGGUGAGUCGACCCCUAAGGCGAGGCCGAAAGGCGUAGUCGAUGGGAAACAGGUUAAUAUUCCUGUACUUGGUGUUACUGCGAAGGGGGGACGGAGAAGGCUAUGUUAGCCGGGCGACGGUUGUCCCGGUUUAAGCAUGUAGGCUGGUUGUCCAGGCAAAUCCGGAUAAUCAAGGCUGAGGUGUGAUGACGAGGCACUACGGUGCUGAAGUAACAAAUGCCCUGCUUCCAGGAAAAGCCUCUAAGCAUCAGGUAACAUUAAAUCGUACCCCAAACCGACACAGGUGGUCAGGUAGAGAAUACCAAGGCGCUUGAGAGAACUCGGGUGAAGGAACUAGGCAAAAUGGUGCCGUAACUUCGGGAGAAGGCACGCUGGUGUGUAGGUGAAGUCCCUGCGGAUGGAGCUGAGACCAGUCGAAGAUACCAGCUGGCUGCAACUGUUUAUUAAAAACACAGCACUGUGCAAACACGAAAGUGGACGUAUACGGUGUGACGCCUGCCCGGUGCCGGAAGGUUAAUUGAUGGGGUUAUCCGUAAGGAGAAGCUCUUGAUCGAAGCCCCGGUAAACGGCGGCCGUAACUAUAACGGUCCUAAGGUAGCGAAAUUCCUUGUCGGGUAAGUUCCGACCUGCACGAAUGGCGUAAUGAUGGCCAGGCUGUCUCCACCCGAGACUCAGUGAAAUUGAACUCGCUGUGAAGAUGCAGUGUACCCGCGGCAAGACGGAAAGACCCCGUGAACCUUUACUAUAGCUUGACACUGAACAUUGAGCCUUGAUGUGUAGGAUAGGUGGGAGGCUUUGAAGCGUGGACGCCAGUCUGCGUGGAGCCAACCUUGAAAUACCACCCUUUAAUGUUUGAUGUUCUAACGUUGGCCCCUGACCGGGGUUGCGGACAGUGUCUGGUGGGUAGUUUGACUGGGGCGGUCUCCUCCCAAAGCGUAACGGAGGAGCACGAAGGUUAGCUAAUCCUGGUCGGACAUCAGGAGGUUAGUGCAAUGGCAUAAGCUAGCUUGACUGCGAGCGUGACGGCGCGAGCAGGUGCGAAAGCAGGUCAUAGUGAUCCGGUGGUUCUGAAUGGAAGGGCCAUCGCUCAACGGAUAAAAGGUACUCCGGGGAUAACAGGCUGAUACCGCCCAAGAGUUCAUAUCGACGGCGGUGUUUGGCACCUCGAUGUCGGCUCAUCACAUCCUGGGGCUGAAGUAGGUCCCAAGGGUAUGGCUGUUCGCCAUUUAAAGUGGUACGCGAGCUGGGUUUAGAACGUCGUGAGACAGUUCGGUCCCUAUCUGCCGUGGGCGCUGGAGAAUUGAGGGGGGCUGCUCCUAGUACGAGAGGACCGGAGUGGACGCAUCACUGGUGUUCGGGUUGUCAUGCCAAUGGCACUGCCCGGUAGCUAAAUGCGGAAGAGAUAAGUGCUGAAAGCAUCUAAGCACGAAACUUGCCCCGAGAUGAGUUCUCCCUGAGACUUUAAGUCUCCUGAAGGAACGUUAAAGACGAUGACGUUGAUAGGCCGGGUGUGUAAGCGCAGCGAUGCGUUGAGCUAACCGGUACUAAUGAACCGUGAGGCUUAACCUU